UCGUAUUAAUGUACCUUGAAACGUAAGUCGCAGUAACUAAAGACCCAUCCAUUAUUUUAUCUGUCCGAAAAAUAUUCUCUCUCUAAAUUCUCUCAAUCUUGCAACCGAAAAAGUUUCUUGAAGAACCCAAGAAAGUUUCAGAUGUCUAGUGGAGAAGGUCGGAAAGUGUCCGUUCAAGAUAUACAGCUAGUUCAAAAUCUUAUAGAAAGGUGUCUUCAGCUUUACAUGAGCCAGAGAGAAAGUCGUGAAUACUCUCUUACUCCAGGCAAAAAUCGAGACUGGUUUCACUG